AUUGAACGCUGGCGGCAGGCCUAACACAUGCAAGUCGAGCGGAUGAAGGGAGCUUGCUCCUGGAUUCAGCGGCGGACGGGUGAGUAAUGCCUAGGAAUCUGCCUGGUAGUGGGGGAUAACGUCCGGAAACGGGCGCUAAUACCGCAUACGUCCUGAGGGAGAAAGUGGGGGAUCUUCGGACCUCACGCUAUCAGAUGAGCCUAGGUCGGAUUAGCUAGUUGGUGGGGUAAAGGCCUACCAAGGCGACGAUCCGUAACUGGUCUGAGAGGGUGAUCAGUCACACUGGAACUGAGGCACGGUCCAGACUCCUACGGGAGGCAGCAGUGGGGAAUAUUGGACAAUGGGCGAAAGCCUGAUCCAGCCAUGCCGCGUGUGUGAAGAAGGUCUUCGGAUUGUAAAGCACUUUAAGUUGGGAGGAAGGGCAGUAAGUUAAUACCUUGCUGCUUUGACGUUACCAACAGAAUAAGCACCGGCUAACUUCGUG
rnacentral:rRNA from 1 species